GAGCCCCCGCCCGCUGCCAUGGCCGCGAUCAAGCACCGGCGGACGGCCCUGGAGCGGGUGGAGAAGUUCCUGUCCGACACCUACUUCACCGACUGCAACCUGCGGGGCAGGCUUUUUGGGGAUCGCUGUCCCCCGGCAUCGCUGUCCUGCUUCCAGACUCGGCGGCGCAUCCCGUACCAGGAGGCUGUGGCGCAGCAAUUCGGGCCGGCGCAAGUGGGAGAGUCCUUCGGGCCCACGCUGCUUAUACCUCAGUUGUUUAACCCCCAAGUGCACAUGCUGCCUCUGCUGUUUCCUCAUGCCAGCCUUAGAAAAGGGGUUGGAUUACACCUCCCUCUUCACCCCUCCCACCCCAAAACCAGCAUGCUGCAACAGUGCCUCAGACCAGGAACA